CACGUAGUUAGCCGGGGCUUCUUACUCAGGUACCGUCAUUUUCCUCCCUGCUGAUAGAGCUUUACGUAACGAAUUACUUCUUCACUCACGCGGCGUCGCUGCAUCAGGGUUUCCCCCAUUGUGCAAUAUUCCCCACUGCUGCCUCCCGUAGGAGUCUGGGCCGUGUCUCAGUCCCAAUGUGGCCGUCCGCCCUCUCAGGCCGGCUACUGAUCGUCGCCUUGGUGGGCCGUUACCCCGCCAACAAGCUAAUCAGACGCGGGUCCAUCUUACACCACCGGAGUUUUUCACACCGCUUCAUGCGAAGCUGUGCGCUUAUGCGGUUUUAGCACCUAUUUCUAAGUGUUAUCCCCCUGUGUAAGGCAGGUUGCCCACGCGUUACUCACCCGUCCGCCACUAACCCAUAUAUCACCAGGUUUCAAUAUGGGUCCGUUCGACUUGCAUGUGUUAAGCACGCCGCCAGCGUUCAUCCUGAGCCAGGAUACAAACUCU
rnacentral:rRNA from 1 species